ACGGGGGGGCACAAGCGGUGGAGCAUGUGGUUUAAUUUGAAGCAACGCGAAGAACCUUACCAGGCCUUGACAUGCAGAGAACUUUCCAGAGAUGGAUUGGUGCCUUCGGGAACUCUGACACAGGUGCUGCAUGGCUGUCGUCAGCUCGUGUUGUGAGAUGUUGGGUUAAGUCCCGUAACGAGCGCAACCCUUGUCCUUAGUUACCAGCACGUUAAGGUGGGCACUCUAAGGAGACUGCCGGUGACAAACCGGAGGAAGGUGGGGAUGACGUCAAGUCAUCAUGGCCCUUACGGCUUGGGCUACACACGUGCUACAAUGGUCGGUACAAAGGGUUGCCAAGCCGCGAGGUGGAGCUAAUCCCCUAAAACCGAUCGCAGUUCGGAUCGUAGUCUGCAACUCGACUGCGUGAAGUCGGAAUCUUUAUUAAUCUUGAAUGAAAAUGUCUCGGUGAAUACGUUCCCGGGCAUUU
rnacentral:rRNA from 1 species